CGCUCCUUCCUCCUUUCUUCUUUCUCUUUUCCUUUUCUAUUUCUUUCUUUUCUCCUCCGCGUUGAUCUUGCCAAGGUAGACGCGAUCCAUCAGCACAUCGCUAAACUCUGGAAAGAAAGUUUGGAUUUUCGGUCUUUGCAGAUAAUGGAAGGGACGGCUACCUUUGCGGGCCAAGUAGCGGCGAAGCUGAUCGAUGCGGUGGACCGGCAUAUAACCCUGGCCUCGUCGAGCUACUGACGAUCGAGAAAAGCUCCCAAAUCUCCGAGAAGCUGGAUCAUCUAGGGAGAGCACAAGAUUCUUUGAUAGAUCACUAGCAAGAACAAGAUUGAAAUCUAAUGCUUAACAUACCCGGCUCCAUCGAUCGAUCUCUCUCCCUCGCGCGUUGAUCGAUCUCUC
rnacentral:lncRNA from 1 species